AUGCCUCAGCUGCAGCGCAUGCAGGAGAGCCUGGGCCCAGGGCUGGUCUGGGGUCAGAGCGCAACCCGGGUGUCCGAAGGGCUCUCUCUGCAGAUGCCAGUGACAUUUGAGGAUGUGGCCGUCUACUUCUCCCAGGAGGAGUGGGCAGUACUGGACCAACAACAGAAGGAGCUUUACCAGGACGUGAUGAGGGGGACCUAUGAGUUGGUGACCUCGCUGGGGUAUCCUGCUGCCAAACCAGAGGUUAUCUGUAAAAUUGAACAGGAGGAAGAACCAUGGAUGAGGGAUUCCCAGAACCACAGAAGAGGCCUGAAUCACCAAUGGGGUUCUAGGAACAGGAUCAGAAAUGAGAAAGUUAAGGAUAUUGGAGAUAAUAUGGAAGAUCCAGAGACAUUUACAUUCUUGAUGAAGUCAGAGGGUAUUGUUCAGGUCCCCCUAAAGCUGAAAAACAGUAGUAGAGAAAAGUCCUGGAGAAAACAGGCCUAUCCAGGAAGGCCUAGUGUACCCCAAAGGCCAUUGGGGAAAAAGAAGCCCCCAACCUGUGCUGAGUGUGAUAAGAGCUUCAAAAGCAACACAGCCUUGAUCAUCCAUGAGCGCAGCCAUACUGGAGAGAGGCCUUUUAAGUGCCCUGAGUGUGGGAAAGGUUUCCCUUCCAAGGGGGACCUGAAGCGGCAUGGAAAGAUCCACGUAGAGAAGCAUGAUGGAAUGGGAGAGAUGCUCAAAGAUGUUCCUUCAGAGCAUGCCCUCCCCAAGCAUAGAAGACCUGCCCCCAGGAAGCCUCAUGUCUGCCUCCAGUGUGGGAAAGGCUUCAAAAAGGCCGGAAACCUCAAGAAACACAUAAAUGAUCACCUGGCAGAGAGGCCCUUUGUCUGUGGGGAGUGCGGCCAGCGCUUUCGCCUCAAGCAGAUCUUGGUGUCCCACCAGCGGACCCACAUUGGGGAGAGGCCCUACAGCUGCCCUCAGUGUGGGAAGUGCUUUAGCCAGAAGCACCAUCUCAGGAGCCACCACCGAGUGCACACAGGCGAGAGGCCCUUCACUUGUCCCCUGUGCUCCCGAUGCUUCAGCCAGAAGCACCACCUGGUCAGCCACCAGCGCAUCCACACAGGUGAGCGUCCCUUCAUCUGCGUCAGCUGUGGUAAGAGUUUUAAGGACAAGAAGACGCUGACCAUCCACUGCAGGGUGCACACAGGUGAACGGCCAUAUACGUGCUCCGAAUGUGGGAAGGCCUGUAGUCAGAAGCAGCAUUUGAAAAGCCACCUGCGUGUGCACCAGGCAGGGGGCCAAAGACUGCUCCCAUCAUGCCCAGAAGAAAAACCCUACCAGUGCAAGGUGUGCGGGAAGGCCUUCCGGGACAAAAGGAUUAUGUUGACCCACCAGAAGACCCAUGAUGAAGAGCCAAGACACUUCCCAGCACUGGGGAUUGUAGCAUUCCGAAAGAAGGGACCGCUUCUGUGAGGUGACAGCAUGACUGUUCAUGGAUUGCCAUGGCCAACCACUAGAAGCAGCAUAGAAUGGGACAGCUUCAAAGAGCCAUUUGGGAAGAUUACCAUGGGGCCGGACCACCUGGGAGUUUCCAGGGGGAUCAGAAUCAGGAAUACAAAGACAGGAAAAGCAAGAGGAACUCUGGGAGAUGUGUAAGAGCUAAGCCCAAUUAACAAGAUGACUCUACAGAUGGACUCCUGGAACCCAUGAUCUGGGACAAGCAAGGAAACAGGACUGAAGUGUCCUCUUUGUCCCCACUGAGAAUAGAAUGAGAGGACAAAGGCCAAGCCCACAAGAAGGAAACUGAAGAUGUUGGAUAAGAUUUCUAGUAACUGAAGACCACUUGACCCUGCCAGUGUUGCAAAGAGUGUGCUAGGUAAUACACUUCACAGAAGAAGGUUGGUCAAAAUGACCUUCCAGGGUCACCCGUAGCCUGGCUUGCCUUGAGUUGGUAGGAACUCCUCAGUAACUUUCAUCGUCUCCUGGUGGUAUGGGAGAGCCAGAGGGGUCUAGUUUAGAGAUAGGGGAGUGGAACCAGGUUAAACAGUGCCUGUAUGCACAUGGUGGAUAUUCACUGAGGGUUUGCUAAAUGACAGCUCACACUUCUAAUCUGAAGAAUGAGAGGGUUGGAGCAGAUCACCUCAAACACUAAAUCUGUAAUUGAUUAAAUCAUGAGGUUUUAAGGUUUCCAACACAUUUCUCAACUAUAAGUAUCUCCAUUUUACAGAUGAGGAAAGUGGGGAGGCAGUGUUUGAAAAGCAUUGAUUCUGGAGUCGGAUGACCUAAGUGGGUUCAACUCUUGCCUUUGAUGCCAAGUUUUUGCAAAAGCAAAAUGAGGUGAUGAGAUUUAAUUGCCUCAGAGAUUCCUGACAGCUCUAAUUCUAUGAGGCUUAGGGAACGUUAUACAAUCAGAAAAUGCUGAAGGCAAGACUUCAACCCAGGUCCCCAGUGGAAUAGGAAUAGUCAGCCUGGAGCUUUGCCUUCUGGAGUUGUGUUUCCCACAGUUGUAUAGAAGCACCUGGUGAUUUUGCUGCUGGAGAAUGCCUUCGCACUAGAUGACGGGCAGACACUUUACCUGGACAUGGCGGGGGAACAAUGAGCUGGUAAAGUCUAGGAGAGAAGCCUGCCGUUGGUGAGGGAGGAAGAGGGCGUACUUCUGUCCCAGUUUCUUGCUUGUACCAAUCCCAGUUCUCCCAAUACUUAUCUCCCCAGAAUAUACCCUCCUCAUACUGAAGGCCCAAAUUCUCAUUGGCCUAUCUGGACAAAGAUAGCCCUGUUCUGGUAGUGUUUGGAGUCCAGGUGUGCAGACAGAACUAUCUGCCUGGGCCCUGAGGAACAUGGAUGCCCAUUCUGGUAGGCCAACACCUUAGUUCUGUUCCCUCACACAAGCGCCGUUCAGAGCCUUGGACUAUGGGCUUAAAGUACCUCCCCACACUUUUGCACUGCUCCCACACUUAAGACCCCAUCGUCUAUAACUCAUCUGACUGUCCUUUGCCCUGGGUUGUCCGUUCUCCCAUGCUGUCUCCUCCCCUAGCCAGGAGCCUUCCUUGGAGGUGUAGAAAGGAUGACCAGAGCCAGCUAGGUCUGCCCUCUUGAUGAAAGAGUUAGGUUACUUAGCCUCCAGAAGGUAGGUAUAGAUACUCAACCUCCUUGUAGACCAGAGUCCCUAGGUAGGGUGGUCUCUGGAUAGGUCAGAGUUCCAGGUAAACAUCAUCUCCUCCCACCUCUUUCUAUCUUUCUUCCCGUAGGUUCCUCUAUGAAACCUGAGCUGUUGACCUGGCUAAAGCAAAGAGAAGGGCCAGGGAACUGGGCUCCAGGGAAAGCCAAAGUCACUCUUGUAUGAUUUUUAACAUGUGUAUGUUUUUCAGAGCAGGAUUUUGUUUCACUAAAUCAGGGGUGGGGAACCUUUGGCCUCAAGGCCACAUGUGACCUUUUAGGUCCCCAAGU